UACGAAGGGGGCUAGCGUUGUUCGGAAUUACUGGGCUUAAAGGGCGCGUAGGCGGGCCCGCGAGUCCGGGGUGAAAUCGUCCGGCUUAACCGGACAAUCGCCUUGGAUACCGCGGGUCUCGAGGGAGGUAGGGGCAGCUGGAACUUCCGGUGGAGCGGUGAAAUGCGUUGAUAUCGGAAGGAACGCCGGUGGCGAAAGCGAGCUGCUGGACCUCUACUGACGCUGAGGCGCGAAAGCCAGGGGAGCAAACGGG
rnacentral:rRNA from 1 species